AUCCAGCUGACGAGUCCCAAAUAGGACGAGACGCGUAUCCUGCAU
rfam:Schistosoma mansoni, Puerto Rico, WGS project CABG01000000 data, contig: 0237